rnacentral:rRNA from 1 species
GACGAACGCUGGCGGCGUGCCUAACACAUGCAAGUCGAGCGAAUGAAGUUCCCUCGGGAAUGGAUUUAGCGGCGGACGGGUGAGUAACACGUGGGCAACCUGCCUCAUAGAGGGGAAUAGCCUCCCGAAAGGGAGAUUAAUACCGCAUAAGAUUGUAGUACCGCAUGAUACAGCAAUUAAAGGAGCAAUCCGCUAUGAGAUGGGCCCGCGGCGCAUUAGCUAGUUGGUGAGGUAAUGGCUCACCAAGGCGACGAUGCGUAGCCGACCUGAGAGGGUGAUCGGCCACAUUGGGACUGAGACACGGCCCAGACUCCUACGGGAGGCAGCAGUGGGGAAUAUUGCACAAUGGGGGAAACCCUGAUGCAGCAACGCCGCGUGAGUGAUGACGGCCUUCGGGUUGUAAAGCUCUGUCUUCAGGGACGAUAAUGACGGUACCUGAGGAGGAAGCCACGGCUAACUACGUG